ACUUGAUGAUGUGGACAUUUACGUAGAAGGUCCCUAAAACGCUCCAAAGUCUCAAAGAAUUGCUCACCGUCUAUCUAGGAAAAACUAGUGAUUACCUUCCUAAGCU